UACGUAGGUGGCAAGCGUUGUCCGGAAUUAUUGGGCGUAAAGCGCGCGCAGGCGGUCUUUUAAGUCUGAUGUGAAAGCCCACGGCUCAACCGUGGAGGGUCAUUGGAAACUGGGGGACUUGAGUGCAGAAGAGGAAAGUGGAAUUCCAAGUGUAGCGGUGGAAAUGCGUAGAGAUUUGGAGGAACACCCAGUGGCGAAGGCGACUUUCUGGUCC
rnacentral:rRNA from 1 species